rnacentral:rRNA from 1 species
UACGUAGGGGGCAAGCGCUGUCCGGAAUUAUUGGGCGUAAAGAGCGUGUAGGCGGCCAGAUAAGUCCGCUGUGAAAUCUCGAGGCUCAACUUCGAGCUGUCGGUGGAAACUAUCUGGCUAGAGUCCGGAAGAGGAGAAUGGAAUUCCUGGUGUAGCGGUGAAAUGCGCAGAUAUCAGGAAGAACACCCGUGGCGAAGGCGGUUCUCUGGGACGGUACUGACGCUGAGACGCGAAAGCGUGGGGAGCGAACAGG